AGCGAACGCUGGCGGCAGGCUUAACACAUGCAAGUCGAGCGGACCUUUCGGGGUCAGCGGCGGACGGGUGAGUAACGCGUGGGAACGUGCCUUCUGGUCUGGAAUAACCCUGGGAAACUAGGGCUAAUACCGGAUACGCCCUUUUGGGGAAGGUUUACUGCCGGAAGAUCGGCCCGCGUCUGAUUAGCUAGUUGGUGGGGUAACGGCCUACCAAGGCGACGAUCAGUAGCUGGUCUGAGAGGAUGANCAGCCACACUGGGACUGAGACACGGCCCAGACUCCUACGGGAGGCAGCAGUGGGGAAUAUUGGACAAUGGGCGCAAGCCUGAUCCAGCCAUGCCGCGUGAGUGAUGAAGGCCUUAGGGUUGUAAAGCUCUUUAUCCGGGACGAUAAUGACGGUACCGGAGGAAUAAGCCCCGGCUAACUUCGUGCCAGCCGCCGCCGUAAC
rnacentral:rRNA from 1 species